rnacentral:rRNA from 1 species
GAUCAUGGCUCAGGAUGAACGCUAGCUACAGGCUUAACACAUGCAAGUCGAGGGGCAUCAGGAAGAAAGCUUGCUUUCUUUGCUGGCGACCGGCGCACGGGUGAGUAACACGUAUCCAACCUGCCCUUUACUCGGGGAUAGCCUUUCGAAAGAAAGAUUAAUACCCGAUAGCAUAAUGAUUCCGCAUGGUUUCAUUAUUAAAGGAUUCCGGUAAAGGAUGGGGAUGCGUUCCAUUAGGUUGUUGGUGUAAGGG